AGUGAACGCUGGCGGUAGGCCUAACACAUGCAAGUCGAACGGCAGCACAGUAAGAGCUUGCUCUUACGGGUGGCGAGUGGCGGACGGGUGAGGAAUACAUCGGAAUCUACUUUUUCGUGGGGGAUAACGUAGGGAAACUUACGCUAAUACCGCAUACGACCUACGGGUGAAAGCAGGGGAUCUUCGGACCUUGCGCGAUUGAAUGAGCCGAUGUCGGGUUAGCUAGUUGGCGGGGUAAAGGCCCACCAAGGCGACGAUCCGUAGCCGGUCUGAGAGGAUGAUCAGCCACACUAGAACUGAGACACGGUCCAGACUCCUACGGGAGGCAGCAGUGGGGAAUCUUGGACAAUGGGCGCAAGCCUGAUCCAGCCAUACCGCGUGAGUGAAGAAGGCCUUCGGGUUGUAAAGCCCUUUUGUUGGGAAAGAAAAGCAGCAGGUUAAUACCCCGCUGUUCUGACGGUACCCAAAGAAUAAGCACCGGCUAACUUCGUG
rnacentral:rRNA from 1 species